AUGGAAAAUUGUCAGGGAUUUCUGGGCCCUGAAGCACAUAGUAGCUGUACAGCAAGGACUUGUUCAGCCAUUUCUGCUAUUCCUUCCAGGAGCGUCCACCACCUUCCUGUUCCUGGUCUUGAUUGGAAUUCUUUCUGUUACAGCUGUCUAGAGAGGCUGGGACGAAUGAGUAUGAAUGGUGGGGUUCCAUUCCAGACUCACAUUUUCCUAUGGAAGGAGCCUUAGAGGAUGAAUGGACAGAAGAGCUUCAACUCCCAGUGUUGUUGGUAUUGCAUGAUUUUGGUGGACAACAGCCACAGACAGUGCCCAGACCAGUGGAAGCAAUGGUGAGUUGUCUCUUUGAGACCUUGUGGAAUUUAAUGGCUUUGGCAGCAGAUAUAUAGAUAGAAAUCCAAAAGUAGAGUGAAAGAAUGGGAAUAUGGUGGAAUCUGUUUUACAGCUAAAAGUGCUAUGCUUAUGACACAUUAAUUAGACACUCAAUGGGGACUCCCAAGAUUGGGACAGUGGAGUUGAGCUUCCACAAUCAACUCAACAGUGAAGGUAAGAGAAAAUACUGUUUGAAAAUUUAAAAAACAAAAACUCCAGGUGCCAAGGUUGCCUGCAGACAUGUGGAUAUGUAGAAAACAGGUUUUCUUGGUGUUGCUUCAUGGACAAACUAACUCCACAAAGGACAUGGCAAAAUCAGAGUGUUUGGGGAAUAUUUACAACAGAAAUGCAAAGUAACCCUGAGCUUCCAGUGUGAUUUAAAAUGGUUAAUUCAUUGUUUCUUCCUGGUGAGGAGGCAAGAUUUAGUUAUUAGGUUGUAGAUACUAUUUUCCCUGGUGCUGUCCUUGUGGAAGGUGUUCAGCAACGUGAUUCCCUCCUGGGCAAUGUUUGAAUUUAAUUAUGUUCAGGGACUAUGCAGAAUGCAUCAAUUUAUUAACCUUGUUUACUUCAAGAAUCUAAAUUGAUACACUUAUUCAAACAGGGUAGUUUCAUAUACUCAUUCUGAGCCAUUCACUUGCGAAAGAAAAAUGUCAUCUUUAGCAAGUAAUUAUAGCUAAAAAGGCUACAACUAGGUAAUAAGGCUUUAGAACAGAAGCAGUAAAGAUUGCAUUAGCAAUCUGCCUCAGGAGAACCAGAGAGCCUGGCUGACACGUUUUGAGCAAGAUGACCAAGUGUAGCAUGAUAUGACCCACGCUGCAAGCCCACAUUCUCAGUAUGACCCACAUAGCUUAGAUUUUUAAAACAGUAAUUUCUGCAAAUGAGGGAUGGAUGAUCAGCCUGAUAGACUCCUAAUACGGGAGGCAAGAGUAUUAUUUUCCAGAAAGUCAACAAUCUUGAUAGAAAAUUUUAUAUCCAAACAAUGUACUAUUUUUCUGUAUUAUUUUGCCUGUUAUUCUAGAAAAAAUUCAAAGUGUACAAAAUCUCUAAUUCUAUUCUCUUAAGACCAGUCACAUUAGGGAAGCUUUCCCAAUAUGCCCACCCUUCUUUCUAUAAGAGCCCUUCUUCUAAUUGGCUUCCUUGGCCCAGCAAUAAUCCAGAGGCUACUAGAAACCCACUGACUACAGGCCUCUGAGGUUUCUUGAAAAAAUUGACCCAAAUCACGUUUUUCUAGUUAGCUAAAUCUUGAAUCUACUUUUGUUCCAAUGAUAGGUUUCUCUAGGAGUUUACAAUAGCACUGAAAAGUCUCCAACAGGUAAAGUAAAGGCCUUAUGUUUGAACAAGUGCUGGGCAUAGCAGGUGACACCUGUCAGGAUACACACAACAUCUACAACCUAGAUUGUUUAUUCUCUGACUACUCCCUGAAAUUUCUCUCCUGCUCUUUCUUACUUAAGGUUGACCCUUUCCUCUGCAGCUCCUAAAGCUCUAUUAUAGCAAACCAGCUGUUGAGGCGCUACAAACAGCCUGUUCUCUAUCUGGUAAAAUCUUUGCAGUGAAAGACGGAGAUGGUAUUUUUGUCCGCUGUCCCCCAUCAAUGAUGGGAACCACUGGGCACAAAGUUGUGGCUCAAUACAUGUGUUACCUGUUCCAAAACCUCCCUAGCACAGGGCAGAGAUGAUACAUACCUGACACAUAUGCUGUCAUUUUAACUAUAUUUCCAUUCCUACACUUACGUUAAUCAUUCCUGCUGAGAAGCUUCAGAAUUCUUCUCCCCAUAGCACUGAAGGCUUCCACUACCAAAUAGAAUUCCUCUGCUAAAUGAAACGAGCUGUGGAACCACAAUAAUAUUCUUACUGUAAGAAAAUCACACCAGCUAUCUUUCUGUAACUCUGAAUCCUUAUUUUCAGGUUCAAUCACAACAAAAACAAUAACAAUGUACAAUUAUAAUAAUGUCAGGAACAGUGCUGGGCAUAUCACACAUAUUCACUCGAAUCCUUCAAAUAGUUCCACAGGCAUUUACAAAGAGGAAUAUGAACCCCACAAAGACAGAUAACUAUAAUUUGGCAGUGCUGAAUUCAUACUCGGAAAUACCUGGGUACAAAGUUGGUGCUUUUUCUUCUAAGACAUUUUGUUGCCCAGAAUUAUGGAAACUGUUUUAAUAGGAACAUUUUGCAUGUGAAUUUGCAAAAGGAAGGAUAUUUUUUUUCCUUCCCAAAUGAAGAACUGUAGGGUUAGUUAACACCUCAAAUAUAUUUUCCAUAUCCUGGGUAAAUUAAAGUUUCUUGCUUUGAGUUAAUAAUAUAAAAAAUCACUCUCCUUAACCUAUACUUUUCUUUCCUUUAGCCUUGCCCCUUUCUUAGUAGAACACCCAGCUAACUCUUCCGUUUGAAUCAGUUCCUGAUAACGGAGGCUGACUUUGCAGUUUUCAUUUUAAAGAGAAAAUAAAGGCAGGUUUUCUCUGUCAUUGAUUUGUCUCAAGGAACAUAAUAGCAAAACAUUCUGGUAGAAUUGAGGUGUAGACCUUGUGCCUGUACAUUGAUUUUCAUGUUCUCAGAGGUUCCCACCACCUAGUGGGCUUGCAAAGCUGGUUUGUGAUAGUUAAGACUAUCCUGGGAAUAUCAAUAGAAAUAUGCCCCAACAGUUUGCUUAUUACUGAGUAAAGAAUUGUUAAGAUAGAUUACAUUUAAGUCUCAUUUUCCUCAUUUAUAAAAUUAGGGAAUUUUCAAACUUUUAAAAAGCAUAAGUCUCUUUUAUAAAAUAAAAUCUUUGGAUAAACUUCCAAAAAUAGAACUGAUAAAAGUGGAAACACUGGGGUUAAAAAACAGGUUGGGAUGCACAACCAGAAGCCCAGGAGUCACCCCUGGUCCACACCUUUUAGUUGCUUUUGGGAUGUGUGUAGGAAGCUCUCCAAGACACAGUGUGGCAACCACUGGAUGAGAUGUUCCUGAAGAUUAUCUCUAGCUCUUGCAUUCAAGGACCUGU
ensembl:lncRNA